rnacentral:rRNA from 1 species
UAGAUACCCUGGUAGUCCACGCCGUAAACGAUGAUAACUAGCUGUCCGGGGACUUAGUCCUUGGGUGGCGCAGCUAACGCAUUAAGUUAUCCGCCUGGGGAGUACGGCCGCAAGGUUAAAACUCAAAUGAAUUGACGGGGGCCUGCACAAGCGGUGGAGCAUGUGGUUUAAUUCGAAGCAACGCGCAGAACCUUACCAGCGUUUGACAUGUCCGGACGAUUUCCAGAGAUGGAUCUCUUCCCUUCGGGGA